UCGGAAUAUUUAAUAACGGAAUAUUAAAAUCUGGAUACAUACGGGAUUUAAUAUACAGUGAGUGAUCAGUUGAAUGUAAGCUAAAAAGAAAUACAUGAAUAAAUCUGAGUAUAUAAUAAUAUGAUAAUAAUGUUUUUCGUUCCAAAAUGUUUUAAGUAUUAGUACCAUGUCUAAACACAAAGCAGGUAUUCAUAUCGGAACGCCUAAUAGUGUAUUCAUAAUGGCAAGUUCGAUCAACUACCCGUAUAAGCAGAAGGGUACUUAAUAUAUGGGGCUGUCAUGUAGCGUAUUUUAUUGUUUACAGUAAAAUCGAUUAAUUAUGUGGAACAAAAAUGUUCUCUCCUUUCACAAUCAAGUAGUUCUUAUUGUUGUGCCAAUUUAUUUGGUUGGUCAACGGAUUAUUUAAAUUUUAAAUUGGUUAUUAGGAUUACUGUAAUCCCUAUAUUGAUAAGUUGAUCAUAGGUAAAUAUAUACAUUUCUCUGGAUUUGGCGCUUCAUCCUGUUUUUAUUUUCUAUUAGUCUGAUCACGUCAAAAUUUCUUUUCUUGGCUUUCGGAAACAGAAAAUAUUUUCGUCUUUUUUUCAUUAGCAAAAUUUACAAAACGAUAAAAAUGUAGAAAAACCUUAAGGAAUUAUUAGUAAAAAAAAUGAACAUUACGAAUUUAAUUUGAACAAUUCAUAGUUUUAUAUUUUGUGAUUAACAAUUCAUCAAAAAUGUCUGAUCGAGAAAACAAGAAGUCGAGCAGACAAACAAUCAGGCCUAAUUACAAUAAAAUGAACGCCGGUGGAUUCGGAAACGACACAAUAGAAGUUCCUUCCGAAUUUACCACUUUGGGAAACGGAGGAACGGGUUGAGAAGAUGAGACAUGUAGACGACUACGCUCCACAGAAAUUCUAGACUUGCUAGAAUGUGAGUAUAUAAGGCUCUAAUGCAAGAGCAGGAAGAGCUACAGAAACAAGCUCAGAUAAGUAAGCUGAAGAAAAAGAUUCCAAACAAAAGAAGAGCGGUAGCGGACUUACGAGCUUGACUCAGAUACUCAAAUCGGGAAGAAGCCAGUUUGCUGAUAAAGGUUACUUCACAACAGCAGGUGUUAAGUGCUGUGCGCCGGCUGUAAAGUGUCGCCCAGACUUCAACUCAGUAUUGUUAUAUUGUUCCGAGGGAUCAAUUUUCCAGAAUAUAUUGUACUAGUACAGAAUCCAGGAGCUCUAGUUAGUCAAACUUCCCGCAGUUACAAAAGUUAAAUGAUGUUGAGAGAACAAAAACUGCGUCAACAACAACGACACAUUUUAGUCGUCGGAAGUGUACCGGAACUGCGAUAUGACAUACGGACGUCUGCAUCUCGUAACAUAACAGAAGCCGUCUGACUUGGCCACAUCACUCGGAAGUUCGAAAUUACUAGAAAAAACCGGCAUAUGCUGCCUAAAUCAUAUUAACAUAUAAUUGUUUGAGGUUAUGAAAACCAAACAACUAUACGUUUUCAAAAUAUCAUCGUAAACUGCCUGAAGAAAAAACCCACAAACAAUGCUUACAAGAAGUGCAACACUUGCGUGCCAUCAUAUCAGAAAUGGACAGACAAUACGAUUGCUACGGACAUGUUCUGCAGCGGUAAAGACUGAUUCGUAUAAUAGAAACAAGUAUAAAGAAAUUGCAGAAAAGAAAGAGCUGAGGGCUGUUGCACAGCGGGAUUAUUUUUGCUCUGACUUCUACAUGCUGAUACCACAUACGUGCUUUCAAAACCAAUCUAAAGAAGAUUAUCUGGUCAAGUGCACUGACAAUAUGAAAACGCAGGAACAUACUGACAUUAUAAAGCGGUCGGAACUAAUUAAAGAUGGAUAUUUAAAUGUUCGACCAGAUCAAAUAGUGAGGUUUUAUCACCCACUAACUUCUUUGUUGGACGGUGUGAAAGUGAUGAUAUACAAGGAAAAAAAGGGAAGUGAUGAAUAUGCCGAGAGACUCAAACUUAACUCAAAACGCGAAAUCAUUCCGCCGAAUAGACGAAUAAUUAUAUGUGAUCCUGAUGCCCCGCAUGCAAACUUGUUUCAAAAAAUAUUCGGACUGAUAUUCCUAAAAGACAUAGUUGAUAGUAUUCGGAAAAAAGCACUGGAACGAGCAUCAAGCCAGGAAUGAAAAUAUGACCAGACAAAUAAGAAAACCUGAAUCCAUCCUAAAUCAAUCAAAAAUGAAAUAUAUGUGGUGAACUUUGAGACCCUUGCUAUUAAAGAGAAUUCUUAUAGCUUUUUCCUUUCAUAGAAUAUCAAAUAUCGGGCCUAGGAUUAAAGAAUAUGUUCGUUGUGCCGUAUUUUAUCUACCUAAAAGUUGCAGCUGAAAGGCACACUUUUCCUGAUAGAUAUUUCAUUAAAGAGAAUUCCUAUAGUUUUUUUCCAUUGAUAGAAUUUUUUUAAAUUCACAUAUAUGAUAGGAAAAUUUGUGCUGAAAACAAUGAACAAAUAACAACAAUAGGUCACCUGGCUUGUUUUUGUGAAGUAUUGUUUUGAGCACACCUACUGUUGCUGAUACUGCCAGCGAUUUUUCAUAAUUUUCAUAUUUUUCUGCUUUUUUAUAAAUUCCAACCAAAAUAUACAUCAAGACAGCACAAUACGGUUUUUUUUUCUUUUUACAGAUUUUAUUAUAUACUUAUUAGAUAUCAUAGUCAUAUUUGCAAUACUCUAUCCUUACAAUAAUGGGUAUAAAUGAAAAAAUAAGUUACCUAUUUACUUUUUCAAUGAAAUAUACCCAUAGUUAAGAAUAAAUUUUAAAUUUUGGAAAAACUCUUUCAUACAUAUUUUUUUCAUAUUUUUCUUGUGUAUAGAUAAUUGUAUUGUAAGCAUAAAAAUGGCUAAAAAUGUAUGGGUCACCAGGCUAAAUUUUAUGUUAAGACCGCUAGAAUACAACACCCGUUCGGAUGGAAAUGGCGCGAACCUGGCCAAUUGUUUACAUGUAUGUCUGCUAAAAGUUAUUCUUUUUUUUUAAAUGAGAUGUGAAAACACAACCACAAAAAUAGCAAGAUACCUGUCAGCCAUAAUACUUGUCAAUACAACAUAAAACAGUAUCACAAUUUGAUUUCUGAUAAAACUUAUCAAAAAUGUUAUUUCAUUCAAGAUUUCUCAUAUUUAAGAUUGUCUGUAACAUGUUUCAACAAAUGUUGACUUCAGUUCAGUUUUCCAUAGAAAGUGUCGGCUGCGCAGAAAGAUGCGCAUAAAAAACUGUAGGAAUUCCCUUUAAAAUAUCUAUCAGGAAAAGUGUGCCUUCCAGCUGUAACUUUUAGGUAGAUACAAAUACGGCACAACGAACAUAUUUUUUAAUCCUAGGCCCGAUAUUUGUGCGUGUUGUCAAAAAUGCUAGUCAAUAAUAAUUCACUGAAGUGAUAAGAAAAACAUGAAAGGAAUAAAAAAAUCCAAGAGCUGUUGGAGGACGGCAACGCUCGGCUAUUCAAUAGCCUUGUAGAUUGAACAGCUCUGUAUACCAUAGACUACUACCAAAGCUAGAUUUACCGCGGUUCCAUGGCAUCAUUUUUGACUGGCAGUCAUUCUGGGACUCAUACGAGUCGGCUAUUCACGAACCCUUCACUAAUUGGUGUUCAUUCAGCCCAUAAUUUCGCACUAGGACCCGUUUUACUGAAGACAGCCGUUUCCAUGGUUACAUCAUCUUGCACCUCCACAGCAGCUAUAGGCAACCGGCAGUGAAACGGUAUGCUUAUCAGGGUAACCAGACGUGUAACAGAAAUACAUGAGUUGACAGACGGCUUCAUGUGGCACUAUUGCCUAACAGACCUUCUGUCAAGAGGACUAACCUAUAACAAAUUUCACGACAACAGAUCAUGGAUGAAUAGUCCUAGCUGAUUGAACGACGAGACAACAUUUCCCGGAUAUGAAUUAAUGCUGAGUACACACACGGGCAGUGAAUACGAAGAUAUCAAUUAUUUCGCAUGUAUGACUACUAGUACAUCGCGAAAAAAUACACCCGAUCCCGACAUUUUAGAUGUUAUAGACAUCAAUGGAUUUGUCACAUACCGUAAGCUGAUACGUGUUACAGCAUAUUUUCUAAGAUUUGUGAACAACUGCAGAAGUGCCGUCAUUGUCCGGAUGUGAAAGAGUACAUCUACCAGAAUAGAAUCAUCCAGAUGAAAAGACCCAACCUAGUGAGACAGCUUGAUUUGCUUCUUGAUGACGACAAAUUAAUAUGUUGUAGCGGCAGAAUAUCUAACGCACAGUUAUUACACAGCACGAGAUUUCCCUACCUACUUCCUUCCAAAGACAAUCUUACAAAGCUUAUUUUUUUGGACUUACACGUUACACAUAUGCAUUCCGGUACUGAGAGCACAGUUACGUAUCUUCGCCAGAAAUUUUGGAUUCCGAGCAUUCGCCAGCGUGUUCAGAAAAUAGUCCACUCGUGCGUUACGUGCCGUAAGGUCACAGGACGAGCAUAUCGAGUACCUGACCCCCCAGCGUUACCUAGCAACAGAUUGAAGGUUGCGCCACCAUUCACAGUAACCGGCAUAGAUUUUACCGGAGCUUUAACAGUAAAAGCAUCGAGAGGAGAACUACAUAAAGCAUACAUUUGCCUUUUCACAUGUGCCAAUACGCGAGCUGUCCAUCUAGAAAUAGUACCGAACAUGACUGUGGACGCGCCAUGGUACGGAGGCUGGUGGGAGAGGCUUGUUGGCAUAACGAAGACCAGUAUCAGAAAAGUACUCGGGAAGUCGUUGGUUGAAAUGGAAGUUCUUCAAACAAUUACUGCAUAAGUAGAAUAUAUCGUAAAUUACCGCCCACUCACACACACAUCUGCAGACCCCUUGGAUGAGGAACCACUUACCCCUUCCCAUCUACUGCAUGGAAGAAGUGUUACCUCCCCUGUUUAUACAGACGACACGGAGUCCACAGCAGACGACCUAUCCCAUGAUUCUGCAGACAAACUUUAUAGAUUUAAGUCUGCAGCACUUGAACACUUCUGGUCGAUAUGGAAGCACGAAUACCUCACAUCUCUGCGAGAGUUUCACAGAACAUCAGGUAAACAUAGAGAUGCUCUUACGAUUGAUGACGUUGUACAGAUACAUGACACCAGCUUAUCAAGAAAUCGCUGGUCCCUUGGCGUGAUUGAAGACGUUAUCGUCGGAAACGAUGGACUUAUUCGAGUAGCCCGUGUUAGAUCAAGACGAGGUGUAACUACCCAACCUAUAUCAAAGCUGUAUCCACUUGAGCUGAAGUAACUAGAUGUGCGUGAUUCCUUGAUUCCUAGAACAGUUACCUUUCCCAGUGAGUAUUACACAGAACUUACUUAGUGGUUGUAAUAAUGAAUAUCUAAGAGAUCAGACAAACUGUAAUACGCGUAUCGUGUUUUAAGUUAAAGUGACAGUAACACUUGUUCAACAAUAUGUGAUUAUGCAGAAGUUUAACUGACUUUCUAGUUUAACCAUUAUCCGCAGUUCUAAGUGAUAUAAUAUUCUGGAAUAAGCAAAGACUGUUAUUUCUCAGAGAAAGUGAUUUACUAUGUUUUAUAUUUUUCUUUGUAAUUGUUCACUUAAGUCAAAUUGUACUUUGAAUGCUUUGUAAAUAUUCUAAAUAACAUGUCUACGUUUAAAAAUCAGCAUCGGGCCCCCGGAGUGUCACGUUAAGUAACAUGUAUAUUUAACGACGCACCAUUCUUGGCGUCACGUCUACGUAACGCGCUCUUUUGUUGUAUAUUAUGACAUCCUGGACGUCACUUGUUGUUCUUCCGGACUAUGAAGUAAACAGUCAACGUAACACGGACAACAGUUUUGUCUUCAUUUAAUGUCUCUACGACAACAAGUGUGUGAAGUUUCAAUCCAUUCUCAUAAGUGGGUACUGAGAUACCAGCUUACAUAUAAGAAUUUAACCCAAAACUCCUAAGUUGAAAAAGGGGCAUAAUUUUGUAAAACGCGAAGUUGAGUUAUUGACACUUUGCGCUGCAUGUCAUAUCAUGACAGUGAACGAGUGUGUGAAGUUUCAAUCCUUUCCUUUCCCUUAGUGGAUACUGAGAUACCAGCUUACAUACAAAAACUGAACCAAAAUUGUCUAUGUUGUAAAAGGGGCAUAAUUUUGUAAAAAAGCAAAAUAGAAUUAUGGGUUCUACUUUGUGCAUGUCAGAUCAUGCCAGUAAAUAAGUGUGUAAAGUUUCUAUCCGUUCCCAUUUGUGUGUACUGAGAUACCAGCUUACAUACAAAACCUUAACCAAAAAUAGUCGAAAAAGGGGCAUAAUUUUGUAAAAAAAAAAAACAAAUUAGAGUUAAGGAACCUAUGCAAUGUAAGUUAGUUUAUCACAGUUAAUAAGUGUGUGAAUUUUCCAUCCAUUCCCACAAGUGGUUACUGAGAUAUCAGCUUACAUACAAAACCUUAACUAAAAAUUUCUAAGUUAAAAAAGGGGCAUCAUAUUGUGAGAAAGCAAAAUUGUGUUAUGGAACCUGUGCAGUGUAAGUCAGUUUAUCACAGCAAAUAAGUGUGUGAAGUUUCAAUCCAUUCCUACAAGUGUUUUCUGAGAUACCAGCUUACAUACAAAAACUUUACCAGAUCGGGACGCGGACGCGGACGCCGGCGCAUGGGCGAAUUCAAUAGCUCUACUAUUCUAUGAAUAGUCGAUCUAAUCAGAAGACUUCCGUGGUAUGUAUAAUAUGUUGUUUAAAGUAAGCUUAGGAAACAGUAAACAGCUGAAAUUGUCAAGACGAUUGUUAUGAAACGCUUCAUACUUUUCUAGUUUUAAUCUGUUUUUCAGCUUUUGUUUUGAAUUAGUAUUUUCUUGUACUGUGUUUUUUUUUUUGCAUUUGUAUAUAAAAUAUAAAUUGAGAGUAUGUAUGAAGUAACCUUAUUUUUUCUAAGUGGAAAAUGUUAGGAAUUCAUCUUUUUAGUAUUUCAACUUCGUUCAGCCAUUUAAAAGUUUCAUUCCAAAACUUCUGAAUCUUUAUAUAGCUCUAUACAUGUACUUUCAACUUCCAAAUAACAAAAAUCAGAUAGACUCGAUUCUGUUAAACUUCACAUAGAUAAAACUUUGUUUGCUGCAAUAUUUCGUGAAGAAAAUUAAAACAAGUUUUGUAAAUGUAGGCAUUAAACCUAGAGCUUUUUAAUUUCAAGGGAAAUAAUUGUGGUCUUACUGUAAUAUUUUGAAAAUCACAUUUGAAAUUUUAUAUGUGCGCACCGGUACAGCUUUUGCGGGGAAGGUCAAAUGCUGUUAUUAUUUGCCGGCUUCGGAUUGGUUGAAAAACCCGUAGUAUUCAAUGGAACUUCAGCUGAUAGGUUAAAAUGCGUUGCUUUUAAUCAUGAAAAUAUCCUUAAGAUUUGGAAAUGUAAUGUUUUCUGUCCAUUUGGAAGUAUUUUAUAGCUGCCUGGCUAUGUAUUUAACUCUGAAACUAUCAAUUUAGUAAAGUAAGAACUUGUUGGAAUUCACCACUAAUUUCCAUGCACAGUUUCGGGUGGUUGUCUUUGAAUGGAAAUAGAAAAGAAAUGGAUCCCGCAUGCCCAUGUAUGUUACUUUUUGGUGUCUGGAAGGCUAUUUGACAGGGUAAAUGGCACCUUAUGUGUCAACAACAAUUCUGAGUGUGUCCUACAGAGUCAUUUCUUACAAGGUAAGCCUAUUGAAAAUUAAUAGCAGUGUCUGACCGGAUGCAAAACUUGUUGGAAUUUUGUCUUCUUCUAAAAACAAGGUAAGUUCACAGUCUUUGUUGAAAUAUAUAUCUGAUAGCUGACACAUAGGAGAAUGUUUUGGUUAAUGUUCAUCGUACAGAUUUUUUGAAAAUGAAGAAAAACCGGGGGAAUUCAAUAAAUUUCUCUUAUAUGCAAAUGAAGCCCGCCCGCUUAACUCAGUAGGUAAGAGCAUUGGUCUACGGAUCGCCGGGUCGUGAGUUUGAUCCUUGGGCUGGGCGUAUAUUCUCCGUGACUAUUUGAUAAACGAUAUUGUGUCUGAAAUCAUUAGUCCUCCACCUGUUCAUGUGGGGAAGUUGGCAGUUAAUUGCGGAGAACAGGUUUGCACUAGUACAGAAUCCAGGAACACUGGUUAGGUUAACUGCUCGCCGUUACAUGACUGAAAUGCUGUUGAAAAACGGCGUUAAACCCAAAACAAACAAACAAACAAAUUUAUAUGCAAAUGAGCUGAAAAUGUAUUGAAAUGAGUAUAUCAGGAGUGUAUGCCUUUCCAGUAAGUUUUUCCCUACCUUUCACGAUAGUCAUUAAAUAGUAUAGAUAUCAACCUCUUUGUUGAUAUCAGUACCUGCAAUUUUCAGUCUGUGAAUAGCUGUGGAAAUUUGGGAUUUCCUUUUUUUGAAGAUAUAAAUAGAUCUAAGCUAUAAUUAGAUUAAAGUUUUUUUUCAGUAUAACAGCAUCUAGGGAACCCUUACAUACAGUCCAGUAUUCUUGAAAUUGCAAGGAAAUAUAAUGCAUGUUUUGAGUACUUUCUGAUUCUAACGUUGUGCAUACUUGAUAUAGGUCAUUGUAAAUAUCAACUAUCAUUAUACUGACAUUUGAAGUUUUUUUCUAAAUUACCUACCUUAUAUAUAUAUAUACCUUUUUUCAUGUAUUUUAUUAAUUACUUUCCUUUAUAGCAAUAAUUUCUCAGAUUGCAUUUAAUUAACUCCCUUUAUUUAACAUGAAAAAAUGUUCUUAUGUAAUGUUUAUUUGUAUAUUUUACUUUCAGUGUACCAUACCUUCGUUUUCUGACAGUCAUAUGUUAUUUGAACUGGGACUGUUUUACUAAUCAGUUUUGGUAGAGAGAAGUUUGAGUAUGUGCAGUUGUUUGACAUAUCUAACGCUGUUGCAGUCUCAGAAGAACAUGUUACCAUUACGAAUAAAUAAGUUACACUCCGGUUUACUGCAGUACGGAUGGGAUAUACUUGUAAAUUUCCAUGCUUUCCUGUACACGGCAAUGGACGGUAAACUUCAUUAACCAACUCAGAAUGGCGUUCAGAAUUGAUCAAAUAUUCUUGUUAUCCUGGAGCAAACGUCGAAACACUACAGAAUAAUUUGUCGAAGAUAAUGAAUAACUUUUGUCCGGACGUUGUGUUCUGAUAAGAACAAACGAUUUCUCUUCAACAGAGGCGGACCUCAACACUGUUAAGCAGUUCAACAUUUUACCAAAACUGAAUUGAUAUUUUAUUCAACCAGUUUUUUCAUAUACUUUCAUAUAAACAUUUGUAUAACACAGUCUAAUCUAGUCUAGAAAUGAUGUUCCACAAUGUUUCAGUUAUAUUUUAUGUUGUUUUAAUGUCCAAAUAUAUAAUUACUAACAUCAACAAAACUUAAGUAUUUUACAACUUGGUUGGUAUAAAUGGUUGUUUUGUUUAUAUGUUUUAUUUAUUUCCAUCCAGGGAAAUAAAGAAAUAUACAUUUUAGAAUGUCUCAUCAUUCCAGAUAAGUACUCUACAUAAUCAAGAUAAAAGAAAUAAGAAAAAUUAUGUUGGUGGAAUUUUAUUUUAAAAAAUUAGAUAUACAGUCUUUGUAGUAUUUACCUCUUUAGAUAUGUUGGACUGAAAUGGGAAUAGCAACAUUUUACAUGUUGGUUUAUUAAUUACAAGUAUGACUUAACAUGUGUACCUGUCCUGAAGUAAGAUAAAAAAGGUUGUUUGAUGUCCUUGUACUAUUAAGUAGUUUCUGGAUUUGUUUGCAUUCCAUGUCUGAAUGAAAUGAAGAAACAAAUUUUAAUGAGGGUAUCCCGGGAAAAUACCUAAGUUUAUUUUUAUAUCAGCAAAUUUGAUGAGAUAGUCUUUCAGGACUUGUCUAUCCUAUUUCCAAAAAUGUUAUAGGGACUAAAUUUUUUGGAGUAAAUAUCUCUUUUAAAAGAUAACACACAACAUUUUAAUAUUGUGUUUAUAUUAUCUGAUGCACUUAGAAAUAUAUAUUUGGGCUCUAAAUGUUAAUAAAUCCGGUUUUCAGUUACAGUGUCUAGUAAAUGUUUCUAAUAAUUGUCAUAUAAGUUUAUUUCAUCUGUUUAUACCUUUUUAUCAAUUGUUUCUAAUUUGGUUUUCCAUUCUUUCUGAAUUGAUGCAAACACAAUAUAAUAGUUUAAGAAAUACAGUUAGGUAUAUGAUAUUCCGUUUAUAACAAAUGUUUUAAACUGUUUAAUUUCUAUAUCGUAUUUUAAGUACAGACGAUACUUUUCCUUAUUCAUAAAGGGAAAUCUAUAAUUAACUUAUUUUCUUUAAUGGUUGAACUAUUCCAUAUCAUUUGAAUUGUUAUAUUUUAAGGAUUUUUGUAGGAAUUUAUUUUGCUCCAUGAUAAACGAUAUCUUUAAGAAUGCAUUUUCAGAUUUUAAUUUUAAAAUAUCUUUUGCAUUUGAAUUAAAGUUGAAUCAGUUA